rnacentral:rRNA from 1 species
GGGUUGUGAGGUUAAGCGACUAAGCGUACACGGUGGAUGCCCUGGCAGUCAGAGGCGAUGAAGGACGUGCUAAUCUGCGAUAAGCGUCGGUAAGGUGAUAUGAACCGUUAUAACCGGCGAUUUCCGAAUGGGGAAACCCAGUGUGUUUCGACACACUAUCAUUAACUGAAUCCAUAGGUUAAUGAGGCGAACCGGGGGAACUGAAACAUCUAAGUACCCCGAGGAAAAGAAAUCAACCGAGAUUCCCCCAGUAGCGGCGAGCGAACGGGGAGGAGCCCAGAGCCUGAAUCAGUGUGUGUGUUAGUGGAAGCGUCUGGAAAGGCGCGCGAUACAGGGUGACAGCCCCGUACACAAAAAUGCACAUGCUGUGAGCUCGAUGAGUAGGGCGGGACACGUGGUAUCCUGUCUGAAUAUGGGGGGACCAUCCUCCAAGGCUAAAUACUCCUGACUGACCGAUAGUGAACCAGUACCGUGAGGGAAAGGCGAAAAGAACCCCGGCGAGGGGAGUGAAAAAGAACCUGAAACCGUGUACGUACAAGCAGUGGGAGCAUGCUUAGGCGUGUGACUGCGUACCUUUUGUAUAAUGGGUCAGCGACUUAUAUUCUGUAGCAAGGUUAACCGAAUAGGGGAGCCGAAGGGAAACCGAGUCUUAACUGGGCGUUAAGUUGCAGGGUAUAGACCCGAAACCCGGUGAUCUAGCCAUGGGCAGGUUGAAGGUUGGGUAACACUAACUGGAGGACCGAACCGACUAAUGUUGAAAAAUUAGCGGAUGACUUGUGGCUGGGGGUGAAAGGCCAAUCAAACCGGGAGAUAGCUGGUUCUCCCCGAAAGCUAUUUAGGUAGCGCCUCGUGAAUUCAUCUCCGGGGGUAGAGCACUGUUUCGGCAAGGGGGUCAUCCCGACUUACCAACCCGAUGCAAACUGCGAAUACCGGAGAAUGUUAUCACGGGAGACACACGGCGGGUGCUAACGUCCGUCGUGAAGAGGGAAACAACCCAGACCGCCAGCUAAGGUCCCAAAGUCAUGGUUAAGUGGGAAACGAUGUGGGAAGGCCCAGACAGCCAGGAUGUUGGCUUAGAAGCAGCCAUCAUUUAAAGAAAGCGUAAUAGCUCACUGGUCGAGUCGGCCUGCGCGGAAGAUGUAACGGGGCUAAACCAUGCAC